AUGGCUCAACUAUACAACUUACUGUACACAGUGAGAUACAUCCCACUGAUUCUCACUGUAGCAACAGGCAGUUUUGCAGAUAACAUUGGGCCGAUGGACAAAGAUACCAACAUUGUGGGGAAAGAAACAGACACUGUUACUCUGAAAUGUUCAUAUCAGUCAAGCAGUGAUUACAUUGUACUUUACUGGUACAAACAAUAUCCUAACAGCGCACCACAGUUUUUACUGUAUAAAGGCGCAAAGUCAUCCAGUUCUGCUGUGCGCAACCCUUCUGGUGCGCGAUUCAAUUCAGAAACAUCCUCAGACUCGACUGAACUUACUAUUAAAGACCUACAGAUCUCAGAUUCUGCACUCUAUCACUGCGCACUGAGAGCAGGAGCAGCACAGUAA